UAAUACGGGGGGGGCGAGCGUUGUUCGGAUUUACUGGGCGUAAAGGGCUCGUAGGCGGUGGUCUAUGUCGGUUGUGAAAUCCCCAGGCUCAACCUGGGAACUGCAGCCGAAACUGGGUCACUAGAAGCCGGGAGAGGGAUGCGGAAUUCCAGGUGUAGCGGUGAAAUGCGUAGAUAUCUGGAGGAACACCCGCGGCGAAGGCGGCAUCCUGGACCGGUCUUGACGCUGAGGAGCGAAAGCUAGGGUAGCAAACGGGAUUAGAUACCCCGGUAGUCCUAGCCCUAAACGAUGAAUGCUUGGUGUGGCGGGUAUCGAUCCCUGCCGUGCCGGAGCUAACGCGUUAAGCAUUCCGCCUGGGGAGUACGGUCGCAAGGCUG
rnacentral:rRNA from 1 species